rnacentral:lncRNA from 1 species
AGUGAGGUUGCGGUGUUGUGCUUGCAAUUCAUCCAGCAAGCAUUGGUGCUUCACCACUAUAGUCACCUCCCAGUAAUCCUUCCACUUUCCCUUGUAUGCGUGCACCCUAAACGGGUAAUUACUUCUGACACAACACACAUCAUACACUGUCGGGUUGCUCUUCACCACCUUGAACUGCCAUUGCAAAGAUAAAGUGGGUUCACAACUAUCUUCACCUCAUCCCCACUAUGGUACAAAGCACCCACACAAACCUCAUUUUCCUUAUACUCCCAAGGGAUAUUUCCCCUUCAUUGACUGCUAGGUUGGAAUGGUCAUAACUUGACCAGUUCCGUGGUACAGGAUUAGCAUCAUCCUUAAGUAACUCAGAGAUGUCUUACCCCUCAUCAGCCUCGCCAUUUGGCUCACGGGGUGCCUCUUCAUCCUCUGCUUCUCCUUCUUCUACCCCCAUCUUCAUUAUUUUCUUUAGUUUACCCAUUAGUAAUCUCCACACCUUCCUCACCUCUAACUUCCCCACCUCGCACUUCUUCUUGCAACUAUCUGCUAGACCCAAUCUUCUAGAACACUUCAACAAACAAUAUUAACGGUAAACUGCACUGAGUACAAGCAUUUACAUAGGCUCUCCAGUUCUGGGUUCUUUUAAGCGGCAUCAACUCCCAAAAUAUUAUGUCAGGUCGAACCCUCACUACAGCCGUAACAGACAGCUCAACUUGAUCUCUAACAAGAUUGAAAACCUUAAAUAGCCAGUUGUAUAUUAAAGCUCUCUUGCUCUUGGUAAUUGUUUUCGAAACGACUGAAAUUCAGACAAAUCUACCCCUUCUGGACUAUAUCUAACCUCCCCCGGAUCAUAGAACACUUGGAAAAAUAAACUUUCCGACAUGCUUGUCAAUAUACACGACAUGAACAGAUAUUAUUACUAAAUAUUCUUAAUUUAACUAACUCCAACAACACCUACAUUUCAACAACUAUAUAAAGAUCUAACUCGUGGAUUGCAACUAAUAACAAUUUUAGAGUUUUCUAAAUAUAGCAACAACUUAAUUUUACUUCACCCUGUCAAUAUACACGACAGCAACAGAG